UAAUACCAACUCCCUGAGUGGUGGGGAUGAUUAUUGGGCUUAAAGCGUUCGUAGCCGGCCCGGUAAGUCUCUCGUCAAAUCCAGCGACCUAAUCGUUGGGUUGCGGGGGAUACGGUCGGGCUUGGGAGCGGGAGAGGUUAGCGGUAUUCCCGGGGUAGGGGCGAAAUCCUGUAAUCCCGGGGGGACCACCGGUGGCGAAGGCGGCUAACCAGAACGCGUCCGACGGUGAUGGACGAAAGCUGGGGGAGCGAACCGGAUUAGAUACCCGGGUAGUCCCAGCUGUAAACGAUGCGGGCUAGCUGUUGGGAUGGUCACGAGCCAUCCCGGUGGCGCAGGGAAACCGUUAAGCCUGCCGCCUGGGGAGUACGAUCGCAAGAUUG
rnacentral:rRNA from 1 species